GCACUUAAGUACAUAAUAGAGAAAAAUGAAACAAAUAUGGAUGACUUGCUCCGAAACACCCCCGAGUGGGGAGCAGUUCUUAAAAAUAAUCCCAGUUGUUUCCCCAAAAAAAUCCUAGUGUCCUCGAAAUCUACAUAAUUCGAGGUAUAUUUGUAGUGAAUUUCA